GUGGGGAAUCUUCCGCAAUGGACGAAAGUCUGACGGAGCAACGCCGCGUGAGUGAAGAAGGUUUUCGGAUCGUAAAGCUCUUUCGUUAGGGACGAACGUGCUCUUUGUGAAUAAUGAGGAGUAAUGACGGUACCUAAAUAAGAAGCCACGGCUAACUACGUGCCAGCAGCCGCGGUAAUACGUAGGUGGCAAGCGUUGUCCGGAAUUAUUGGGCGUAAAGCGCGCGCAGGCGGGAUAUCAAGUCUGUCUUAAAAGUGCGAGGCUCAACCUCGUGAGGGGACAGAAACUGGUAUUCUUGAGUGUCGGAGAGGAAAGUGGAAUUCCAAGUGUAGCGGUGAAAUGCGUAGAGAUUUGGAAGAACACCAGUGGCGAAGGCGACUUUCUGGACGAUGUCUGACGCUGAGGCGCGAAAGCUAGGGGAGCGAACAGGAUUAGAUACCCUGGUAGUCC
rnacentral:rRNA from 1 species